UAGCUGUUCAAGUUGUCAGGAUUCAUUUCAACCCCACUGAAAUGUCAUCAACUUUUCAUUUUCCAACAAUAUACAGCACUGGACUAUAAGAUAUUUUGGCAGCAACUCCAUCAAAACGUAAACACAAAGACUGGUGAGUCAGCCACGUUUGGCUUCUCCAGCUUGCUUCCAGAAGAAUUCGAAUCUCCAUACACCUCCAAGUGAACUCUUCAAGGCGGGCCUCACUGAAAAGGAGGUAUAACAAAGACUUAGGACAUAUGGUUUAUCUUUUCAG
rnacentral:lncRNA from 1 species